rnacentral:rRNA from 1 species
UACGUAGGUGACAAGCGUUGUCCGGAUUUACUGGGCGUAAAGAGCGCGCAGGCGGUCGUUCAAGUCGAGUGUGAAAGCCCCCGGCUCAACUGGGGAGGGUCACUCGAUACUGAUCGACUCGAAGGCAGGAGAGGGAAGUGGAAUUCCCGGUGUAGUAGUGAAAUGCGUAGAUAUCGGGAGGAACACCAGUGGCGAAGGCGACUUCCUGGCCUGUUCUUGACGCUGAGGCGCGAAAGCUAGGGGAGCAAACGGG